UCUUUGUUAUGAUCAACAGCUUUGUUAGAUUCACUCGCGAAUGUAGGAGUGUUUCAAAAUAUCUGAAAACAAAACUGCUGUAGUAAAUGUAGUAGUAAUUAAUAACAUGGCAAGCAGUUCUGCACUGUCAGCUUCUUACCGUCCUCCAAUCCAGCGUCUGAAGAAAAGUUCUGCUAAAAUGGAAAUUGCACACUUUCAAAUGCCUUUCAAACCUCUCGAUCCUAAGGAGUUUGACAAAAUCAGGCAGAAAGCAAGCACUGCCUGGACUGAAGAACACGAGCAUCGAUUAAGAAGCAUUACCACCUAUUCAGCAGAACACAGAAUAAAACAAUUGGAUGAACCAACCCAAGGCCGGAUCCGACCAAACUCCCCAACUAGACUGCACAGACCCCAUCCACCAGAAAUAUUUUUAGUGACCCAUCUCCAUGCAAUCCCAGGACACAACAAUUCUUCAAAACAUACAUCCAAUUUGCCACUAAGAGACAAGUGGAAAAAAUCUCCCAGUCAAACAUUUGGAUGCUACAAACCUAAAACGCCUUCACAGUCAACCAUGAAUUCUGACGAAAUCAGAAAGUCACUUCAGGCAAUAUUCAAUGAUUCAAAUGCAGCCUGGGCAGCAGAGAGUUGGAUGAAGCUUGCCAGUGAAAAAGAUCGCCAGGCCGUGAAAAAGAUGAUAGGCUACAUCCGCAGUUUUUCAGGGAAGAUAGCAAGGAAAGAUACUACAGGACAAAGUUAUAUCAGUCAAGCACUGCGCAGGUACAUCAAACCUCAGUUCACUACUUCAAUGAUUCACUGGUUGCAGAAGGCUGGAAGGGAAGAGUCCACAGCAAUGGAACGUCUACUGAGAUCACUUCCUAGUGAUCUGGGAUAUGAACAAAUACAAGGUCCUUAUUUCCGUCUUGCCAAAAGUGCUUGUACAUGGGAGAUGGCGCCCAAACCACAUAGCUAUGAUUAUCAGAUUCAUCCAGAAUGGGUGACGCAGCCCUGGCACACACAGUAUAGGCAACAUAAACCGUGAUGUAGUAAGGAGAUAAGACCCCCUUUGAUUUUGAGCAGCUCUAUCAAAUCCUUCUUGACCUGCUCCUCACUAAGCACAACAACUCAGCUUUGCAUCGAUCCUUGUGGCUGAAGUCUCAUCCAUGGAGUCAUUUUGUGCAAGCCAGUUACUGGAGAUGUCAACUUGAGGAGCCAUACUUUUUAUUCUGAGAAUCAAGAAUUCAAAGAAUUCCGGGGGAAAAAAAACCCUUGAUCCAGGAAGGGAGAAGAAUGUAGAACUUGCAAAUUCAAGGAAAAGUUAAGAGUACUACUGUAUAAAUGAAAUUAAGUGGAAGGUAGUAAUUUUAUGUGGGAGAAAGGAAGACGAAGUGCUGUAUAUUCAACACAGAUCAUGGACUGCCUCCUAAUUUCUACACCAGUUCAGCCUCCUCAUCUUCCCUGAUUUAGAAGCUAAUGUAGAGAAGACUGAUCGAAUCUACAAGACAUCGCCAUCAAACAAGAUCACAGAAUUCAGGAAGCUGAGUCUAUCAGCAAAAGCAUUUAAUGUUUGUGUGACAAUCUGCAUUACAAAAGUUGCUCAAUAACACUGGUUACAUGUAUGUGGAAAAGCCAAUGUUUACAGGAGUCAGCAAUACAAAUACUUUGAUGCAUCUGAUUUAUUUAUGAGCAAUGGGGAUAGGCCAUUAGAGGAAUACAGAGCCUGAAGUGUCUCA